rnacentral:lncRNA from 1 species
UGGUCAUAUCAAAUUAGUUUUGCUUAUUGGUUCUUCUGUGUUUCCAGUCAGUACAAGUGGCCAAAGAUCCUACCAUAUGUUAAAAUCACACACGGUGAAUUGAUUUUACUCUUACAGAUUGCUUGAUUUUCUCAAGUAUAAGCUCUAUCAAUCUUUUUUUCUUUUAAUUUCAUAUUAUCUAUUUCUCUAAUAUGUCAUAAAUUUUCUUCUAUUUUGCUAGAUGUCAGCCAUUUCAGUAGCAUGAUCUUUAAACGUUAAUGGGAUGAAUUUUUUUUCUUGGCUGAAAGUUUGAAUGGAGAUUCAAGUUAAGUUUGCUAUUCUCACUUCUCAAUUUCGUUUUAUCUUCUCUAUCAUUUGUUUCUUCUCCUGGUAAUAUAAAUUUUCAACAGCAUGUCUACAUUUGAAGCUAAAUAUUAUACCUAAGUAGUCAUUAGCAUCUAAGUUGUCUUCUUAGCUUAAGUCACUGUUUGGCUAAUUACAUGUAUGUUGUCUUUCUUUUAUGAGCUAGAUUUUAGGAUGGGAUUCAAGUGAAGCAUGAAGACCCAAGCACGAGGAUCUCGCGAGAGAACAUUGUACUGAAUAUAAGACUGACUAGCAUGCUUUUGGAAGACUACUAUUAGAAUUGGUAAUUCAAGUUUAUAAUAUUGUGCACUGAUUUUGUAUGAAUGAUACUUUUAUUGGUAUAUAACAUAUUAAUAGGUAUUAAAUUAUGGCAUUGAUACGUGUAGUGUGUG